UCCUCCUCCCAGCUGAUGACUCUUUCUCCACCUGGAUGGCUUUCUAAUACUUCUGCCGCUACUUCACUUCUACAUUUUGCUCCUGCAGACAGCAUGCUGCUGCUUCCCUUACUCAUUGCAACUUCAUACUGGUCCCGUGGAGAUGCACAGGCUGUACCGGUGCAAAGCCCGGCAGAGCACAGGCUGGUGGAGGGCAGCUCAGUCACCAUGACAUGCCAGCUGAGUGGUGUAACCUAUGUGCACUGGUACAGGCAGCUUCCUGGGGAGCCACCCAAGAGGAUACUGUAUAUGUCGGGAUCCUCACCUACCUUUGACAACAGCAAUGAUAGACAGAAGUUUCAAGUGCAAAAAAAUCCUUCCAACUAUGUUCUGACAAUAAAGAAAUCAACCCAGGGGGAUACCGGUACUUACUAUUGUGCAUAUUGGUAUUGGUAUUAUGAAGGCUUCACAGCAUUAGAUGGGCAAAGAUAAGCCAUACAAAAAGGC